GGGGAAGAAGAAGGAAGCAGGGGAUGUUUGGAGAUGGCAUUUGUUUUCCCAAGUAACCAUUACGUGUGAUGGAGCUCUGCUAACCUGGAGAUGGUUGUACACCUGCCUGCUGAUGGGAAGAGUGACAUCUGAUAAGUAAGGACAUAACUACCUGGUCCAGCAUGGUUGGUCUCAAAAAUAAGAAGAUUUAGCUAGAAGAGUAUGAAUAACACACCAGUGUUUUGGCUACUGCUGAGUUUUUCUCAGACACCACCAUGGCUGUUUCUCCAAACCACUACCACCAAGCC